rnacentral:rRNA from 1 species
UACGUAGGGUGCGAGCGUUGUCCGGAAUUAUUGGGCGUAAAGAGCUCGUAGGCGGUUUGUCGCGUCUAUCGUGAAAACUGGAGGCUUAACUUUCAGCGUGCGGUGGAUACGGGCAGACUUGAGUUCGGUAGGGGAGACUGGAAUUCCUGGUGUAGCGGUGAAAUGCGCAGAUAUCAGGAGGAACACCGGUGGCGAAAGCGGCUCACUGGACCUCUUCUGACGCUGAGGAGCGAAAGCGUGGGGAGCGAACAGG